rnacentral:lncRNA from 1 species
UGCAACCAAAAUUGGUAACUUCAUUAGUGAAAUACACUACGAAAUAUUUAGACUCAUACCUCCUCAACCUUUGGACCGUAUGUAAUAGUAGAAUACAGCCAAACACAAGCAAGAAGAACUUGAGAAACUAUUAUUCUAAUGCAGAAAUGAAAACAAGAAUUCUUUUUUAUAAGUCUGAAGCUUGUAAAUAUUCACCAACCUAUAAGGAACAUGGCCUCUCUUUCUUCUAAGAGCUGCGAUAACAUCACCUAGUGCAGAAAGAGAGAGAUUUAUUGCCCUCCCCUCGUCAAGGGUUUGUCCAAUGGCUCCCGUUUUAAGUAGGCGCUCACUUCCUCCAAGGUCAACCAUCCACAGUUUGCUUACUUCUGCGUGGCUCCCGUCUUAAGCAGGCGCUCACUUCCUCCAAGGUCAACCAUCCACAGUUUGCUUACUUCUGCUUUACCUCCCAAAGCAUCUCCAUAGCGAUAUAUACUGAUCCUCGUCAAACUAAAUACAAAAAACUAAACAGGUUACUGAAUUGCCAAAACCAAAGUAAUCCAAAUGACGAAGGGAAAGGCUUUUAAAAAUC